CUUGUCUGCAAAGUGACUGCUGAGAUCAUUUUACCUCUAAGCCUCCCCAUAGCCAUAGACAAUGCUCUCUAGACUGUACCACUGCUCCCCAGCCUGUUCCCCUGCUCCUCAUUCUAUAUCCCUGCUUCUCAAAACUAGCAUUCCGGCAACAUUCCUGCUCUGUAUCCUACACACCUGUCCAGCACUACCUGCUCUGUAUCCUGCACACCUGUCCACCACUCCCGGCUUUAUAUCCUGUCCACCUGUCCACCACUCCCGGCUUUAUAUCCUGUACACCUGUCCAACACUACCUGCUCUGUAUCCUGUACACCUGUACACCUGUCCAACACUACCUGCUCUAUAUCCUGCACACCUGUCCAACACUCCCUGCUCUAUAUCCUGUACACUUGUCCAACACUACCUGCUCUGUAUCCUGUACACCUGUCCAACACUACCUGCUCUGUAUCCUGUACACCUGCCCAACACUACCUGCUCUGUAUUCUAUACACCUGCCCAACACUACCUGCUCUAUAUCCUGUACACCUAUCCAACACUACCUGCUCUGUAUUCUGUACACCUGUCCAACACUACCUGCUCUGUAUCCUGUACACCUGUCCAACACUACCUGCUCUGUAUUCUAUACACCUGCCCAACAAUACCUGCUCUGUAUCCUGUACACCUGCCCAACACUACCUGCUCUGUAUUCUGUACACCUGCCCAACACUACCUGCUCUAUAUCCUGUACACCUGCCCAACACUACCUGCCCUAUUAGUGGAUAUUGUGCAUGCUGCUGGCAUUUUCUAAACUGGCCCCCUUUUACCUGUCUCUGCAUGCUCUACAGCUUGAAAUAAUUCCCUGUCAUUUAACUGUCAGCAUAGGACUUAAUACCUUGCACUGGAUUGUGGGUUUAUUGCAAAAUAACAUUUUUUUUCAAUUCCUUCUUUAACUAGAUUUAACCUGAUUUCAUCCUAAUAUUUACUUCUCCCAAAAUGAGACCAGAUCACCCGGGGUGUCAAACAAAACUGUCCCGGGAACAGGAACAAUGAAGACAAUGGGAACAAUGUAAUGUGAUAACAGCAACGUACCAAGAACGUCCAAAAAUAUUAUAUAAAAGGAAGGGAUUUAUGCAAAAAAGAGGAAGAGUGGGUGUAUUGUCGCACUAAGGGCAAAAGUAACUUUACAACUUAGACAGAAUGCGGAACUUUUACUUUAUCUUUACUGCAAGAAGCUAAAUUAUUAUUUGUAUGUAUGUAUUUAUUUAUUUAAAGAAUGAAUCUACCCAAGUUUUGGAUUUUUUUUACGGUUACCGUGACAUUUUCUUGGACGUACAUUUCUUCAUAUUGAUGGGCUGUUGGGCAGCACAUGAAAGAUGCUGUAUAUACAAUAUACAAUGAUUUAACUUCCUGUCUGAUUUUGCCUAUCAAUACGUAUUAUUUGUCUGAAACAUGGUGGAUAUAGUAACAUUAUAUGUUGUAUCCUGUUUGCGGUUAAUUAGAAAGCUGAGAUCUGAGCCGCUUCCUGUGAGACGUCACUAUGAGUAACCGUGAGAAGUGAGUAUGGUUUAUGUUUGCAUGUAAUUCUUUUUUUUGCAUUUUAAAGCACCAUCCAAACCAUUCUUUAAAAAGGUGGCCCAACUACACAUGACCUUUGCUUUUAACCUUUAUUUUCCUAUUUUUAUAAAAAAAAUUUAAACGUUCUUUAUUUUUGCACAAAUCGGGUAAAUACAGGCACAAACAUGAUGUCACAACAGCUUAUGCAAGUAAAUACACAAAUGUAUUCAUGUGAUGGCAUGACAGUGAUAUACAUGUAAAAUUGUUAUUAUACUGUCUAAGUCAUUGCAUUUUCCUUUUGAUAUCGACAAACAUUCUAUUAUGAUGGUACAGGUCCAUCGACCCAUCCUUUAAAUUCAGUUACAAUGUGUACACUAGAUACGCUGCAGAAUCUCGAUUUCAUUCCCAGCUAAGUCUUGCACCAUUCUGAGGUCAGUAAAACAAGAACCAUUAAACUGGCUCUGGACUGGGGGGUUCACGGAAUUUGUUGACAAGCUAGAUGUACAUUUCAUGGCUAAAUACUUUACAUAUUAUUAUUAUUACAUAUUAUUAUUAUUUAAAUGCUGCAGGUCAAUUGAAACCUGACUCAGUGGCAAAACCUGCACUAAACUACACUGUUUUUAUUUGCUAGAUUUUGGGUAAUAUCUCCCAGAUACACCGUGAUCUGGUGAUAGCACUUAAAUGGUUAAAGUCAACAUGGUCUGUAAACACAUAAUAGAAUGAUCCUUCCAUUAUAGCUAUCCCCCUUAUGCUCCUAAUGAAUUGGACGUGGCCUCUGUCUUUACACAUUACGUUCUUAAAAUUGUCAUCUGUUUUGCAACAUAAUUAAGUCAAGCAGUCAUAUGGCGACACCAUGUAUUUAGCCGCCAUCUCCGUGCAGAUACGUAUCUACCCUUAGCGAUCCCUUCUAUAAUUACACCAACUAUAAGCCUUUUAUCCGCGGUUCCCUAUUUAAACACAAUUAAUCAUGAAAAAAAUAAAAUGUCCUCCCGUUUUUUAAAUUAUUUGAAACAGGGGAGCAUUUAUUAUUAUUUAACAAAAUAUUGUAGUUACUUUUCUAUUAAUGAGUCAAUGCCCCAUCUUAAUACAUGUAAAACCAAAUAGAAAACUUCCAUAUCGUAAAGUGUGUCUGUUUAUUUUUACCGUCCUGUUUUGGCGCAGAGGAUGUUUUAACUAAAUAUUGAACUGUCAAUUGACCGAAUAGAGCUUUUAGAAGUGAACCCAAAAAAAAAUUUGCUUUUGAGAAAAAUAUUAUUUUAAUUUAAUUAAGUAGUGUUGUGAUCUGCUGGGUGGAUCUGUUUAAAGGAACAUUUUAGUGUUAGGAAUACCUAACAAAAUGUCCCUCUGCUCUGAAACAGUUAAAAAAAAACCAUUUCAUUCACUUACCUGAUUCCAACAACGAUGUCUAUAACAGAACAGAAUAUAACACUAUAACACAGAAACAUAGAAUGUGACGGCAGAUAAGAACCAUUCGGCCCAUCUAGUCUGCCCAAUUUUCUAAAUACUUUCAUUAGUCCCUGGCCUUAUCUUAUAGUUAGGAUAACCUUAUGCUUAUCCCAUGCAUGCUUAAACUC